UGUAAGUCAGUUUCCGCAAAGACAUAAUAUUUAGUUUAAAAAUUAUACUACAUAAUUUCUCUACUUCAUUUUUAUAUGUGUGGCAACACUGUUAAUGACACAAAAAUUUUCGUUCGUUCACUGGAAUUUUGGUACUUCUCCCGUUUAUUGUAGAGUAUAAAACUUAGUAGUGUGGAUAUGUUGGAUAAGGUUUUAAAAAAGAAACCACAUACAAUGCUGUAUAAAACUUCAUUCGAUGAAAAUGCAGAGUUUAAAACAUUAGAUUUACCCCCAUCUGAGGAAGACCAUGAAAAUUUGAAAAAUACAAUACAAGCACCUUUAUAUCAUCAUGCCAGGCCCAUCACAUCCGAAAAAUUCAACGAUAUGAUGGAUCUAUUACGUUAUAUUUCUCCAAUACAUCAUGAC
rnacentral:lncRNA from 1 species